UAUCAGUCAAAAUAUAACACGGUUUUCUCCCAUGUGUCCAUGUUCCCUGAAAAUCUCAACUGAAAGAUCAUACUCCUAUCUUUCUUCCUCCUCAUUGUAAUGCACGCAGCCAUUCUUCCAUCCAAAAUCGCAAAAUACCGCGAGUUUGAAAUCCAAUCUGCUGUUAUUAACAAAAAGUUGAGAGGAAAAACCGAGCAGCCUGUGAAUUCAAAUUCUCCCCGUAAUCUCAAUUGUCAAUUCAUUCUUUCGUGCUAUAAAGGGUGAACUUGUGCACGUUGUUUGCGGUUGGAACAGAAAGUGGUUAAGGAGUUAAGCUUUUGAGAUUGAGCGGCGAUGGAUGUGGAGGAUGUUGAGCACUGUCGUUGGAAAAUUAUGUCUUGUUUAAUUGUCGGAUUUGUCGGGUCUUCAUACCGGCAUUAUCCCAUGUCUUGAUGCUUCCGCUAGUUUCUAUGUCUUUUCCUUUGGAUUGUUUAUCUCUGGAUCGAAUUCUUCGAAGUUAGUUUGUUGAGACAGUAUUUGUCGUUCUAAUUCUUUAGUUAAUCUUUUGCUUGGUCA